rnacentral:lncRNA from 1 species
AAAAUAUUGAAUAAAAAGAAAUUUUAUAUAUGCCCACUUUUUAUACCACCCUCAAUGUUUAUUAUUUAGAACUCUGUUUUCUAUUUUGCUUUCAUAUUAUUUUUUGGUAUUUUCUUUUUUAUAUUUUUUUUUCUUUUUUUUACAGAGCUCUAGAUAAUAAAAAUAUCAGAUGUUAAAGGUUGUAGCUUUAAACAAAGCGAUUCAAAAUCAAAUAAUUGCAAAAUUUUAAGACAAUGUUAGCAUGUAAUAUUCAGAAAAAAAAAAUGGCUCCAAAUUACUAAAAUGAAAAAAAACUGCACUUUCAAUUAAAUAUUCCAAUUUUUAAAGCCAUUUUUGGCAUACAAAAUAUACAGCUUAACAAAAUGACAAGUUAAUACACUAAUAAAAGAAAAGAACUAUUCAGCACAAAAUAAUUUACCAAAAACUGAGUUGUAUUCAUAAAUAAUAAAAUAUUGAAUAAAAAGAAAUUUUAUAUAUGCCCACUUUUUAUACCACCCUCAAUGUUUAUUUUCUAGAACUCUGUUUACAAAUUUUGUUUUCAUAUUAUUUUUUGGUAUAUCCUUUUUUUCUAUUUUUUUCUAUUUUUUUUUAACAGAGCUCUAGAUAAUAAAAAUAUCAGAUGUUAAAGGUUGGAGGUAUAAAAAAGUCAUUCUCAAUCAGAAUAUUGCAAAAUUUUAAUGUUAUUGGAUUUUCUCAUUGUUGAAGCCCAUACAGUAACCUAUUUUAUAUUAACACCAUUUGGUCUCUGUAGGAUAGUUGUCUCACAUCUCUUUGAUAUCAUAACAAAUCAAUUUGUAGGUUCUAUAAAGUGGGCCAAUGUUCACACAUUGUUUUUAUUUGAACAGCAAUUUUCAGAUCUCAGGACAAGUUUUCUUUGGAACACAUUAUAAAUUUUUGUUUUUCAAAUGAUUUCAACUGACAUAAACAAGACUGGAAAGGUCGAAAUUACCAAAAUGCUAAUUUCACUAUUAUUGGUUCUUUUGUCGUGCCCAGCUCUUAAUGAUGGAAAACCCUGUAUCACAGUAACAUUCCUUUAAAUGAACUGGAGAAGUCUUGAUUACAAUAAUCAUAUUGCUUUUUACUUUUCAACACUAUUGGAUCUUGUGUCAUACCAGCUUUAGAUGGUGGAUGGAGUAUAUGGAGGUGUUAAGAAUUGCACAAGAGGUGUUCCUGCUACCUCUCUAUAUGUAGACAAUGUCACUGUUGUUGUGACGUUCUCAUUUCUAAGCCUUAAUUUAUGUCCGUUACAACGCCCUUAGGGAGAAAAACUACACCCUCAAAUGGACUGUAGAAGUCCAGAUUACAAUAAUGGUACUUUCAGCACCAUUGCACGGUUUGGUUGUCUUGCCCAGCUCUUAAUGGUCCAAAAUGCUGUACAAUGGAUUAUGUUUUAAAAAUUGAAGAUAAAAGAUUAAGUUUUGAAUAUCUUCUUUUUUUCUCUGAAGAUGGCAAAUCAAAUUAUUAAUUCACGAGCUCUAGAUAAUAAAAAUAUCAGGUGUUAAAGUUUGGAGGUAUAAACAAGUCAUUCUCAAUCAAAAUAUUGCAAAAUUGUAAUGUUAGUGGAUUUUCUCAUUGUUGAAGCCCAUACAGUAACCUAUUUUACAUUAACAUCAUUUGGUCUCUGUAGGAUAGUUGUCUCACAUCUCUUUGAUAUCAUAACAAAUCAAUUUGUAGGUUCUAUAAAGUGGGCCAAGAGUGAAGGUAGGGGAAAUUUUGACUGCCAACCGAGGAGGAAAUUGUUGGACAGAAAUUUGGCCUAAUGCAACAAGCCACGUCCUACUGACACCUCAAAAGAGUUGUGACAAGGGUUCUUUAACAUGCAGAGUUGCACUGUCCCUACAGAAAGGACCUAUACUUUUUAAACUGCCAUUCCAAUUUUUGUUUUGUUUUAAAUAUGAUAACUUUAGAAGACUUAAAGGCGGGGGGUCAUAAAAAUAUCAAAAAUAAUCCCACCCUCAAUGUUUAUUAUCUAGAACUCUGUUUUCUAUUUUGCUUUCAUAUUAUUUUUUGGUAUUUUCUUUUUUAUAUAUUUUUUUCUUUUUUUUUUACAGAGCUCUAGAUAAUAAAAAUAUUCAGAUGUUAAAGUUUGGAGGUAUAAAAACAAGUCAUUCUAAAUCAGAAUAUUGCACAAUUUUAAUGUUAGUGGAUUUUCUCAUUGUUGAAGCCCAUACAGUAACCUAUUUUACAUUAACAUCAUUUGGUCUCUGUAGGAUAGUUGUCUCACAUCUCUUGAUAUCACAACAAAUCAAUUUGUAGGUUCUAUAAAGUGGUCCAAUCCUAUGGUGAAGGGAGGGGGAAUUUUGACUGCCAACCGAAGAGGAUAUUUUUGGACAGAAAUUUAGCCUAUUAAUGCAACAAGCCACAUCCUACUGACACCUCAAAAGAGUUGUGACAAGGGUUCUUUAACGUGCAGAGUGGCACUGUCUGUCCCUACAAAUAGGACCUAUACUUUCCCGCUACCUCUAUGUGUAGACAACAUCACUGUUGUGACAUUCUUAUUUCUAAGCCUUAAUUUAUGUCCGUUACAACGCCCUUAGGGAGGAAAUAGUAGCAGAUAGUAGCAGAUAUUACUACACCCUCAAAUGGAUUGUAGAAGUCCAGUUUACAAUAAUGGUACUUUCAGCACCAUAACCUGCUUUGGUUGUCUUGUCCAGCUCUCAAUGGUCCAAAAUGCUGUACAAUGGAUUAUGAUUUAAAAAUUGAAGAUAAAAGAUUAAGUUUUGAAUAUAUCUACUUUUUUUCUUUGAAGAUGGCAAAUCAAAUUAUUAAUUCAUUAAAAAUUCAGAAUAACUCAAAUCUUUACACCACACAAACGCGACAACAAAGAAUGUGCAAUGAAAAGAAUUGAGUUAUUGUUUGAAACAUCAAAAAUGUUAAAGUUUCACGCAUUGUUUUUUAUUUGAACAGCAAUUUUCAGAUCUCAGGACAAGUUUUCUUUGGAACACACUCAGGACAAGUUAUCUUUGGAAGACAUUAUAAAUUUCUGUUUUGCAAAAGAUUAAAAGUUUUGGAUACUUUCUUUUUUUCUUUGAAGAUAACAAAUCUAAUUAUUAAUUCAUUAAAAAUUCAGACUAACCCAAUUGUUUACACCACACAAACUUUCCGGAGGUAACAUAUUUAUUUUUUGUCCAUUCUUUUUUCUUUCUUUUUUUCUUUUUUUUAAAAUAUACUGCAGUGCCAACAAAGAAUGUGCAAUGACAAGAAAUGAGUUAUUGUUUGAAAAUCAAAAAUGUUAAAUGUUCACAUUGUUUUUAUUUGAACAGCAAUUUUCAGAUCUCAGGACAAGUUUUCUUUGGAACACAUUAUAAAUUUUUGUUUUUCAAAUGAUUUCAACUGACAUAAACAAGACUGGAAAGGUCGAAAUUACCAAAAUGCUAAUUUCACUAUUAUUGGUUCUUUUGUCGUGCCCAGCUCUUAAUGAUGGAAAACCCUGUAUCACAGUAACAUUCCUUUAAAUGAACUGGAGAAGUCUUGAUUACAAUAAUCAUAUUGCUUUUUACUUUUCAACACUAUUGGAUCUUGUGUCAUACCAGCUUUAGAUGGUGGAUGGAGUAUAUGGAGGUGUUAAGAAUUGCACAAGAGGUGUUCCUGCUACCUCUCUAUAUGUAGACAAUGUCACUGUUGUUGUGACGUUCUUAUUUCUAAGCCUUAAUUUAUGUCCGUUACAACGCCCUUAGGGAGGAAAACUACACCCUCAAAUGGACUGUAGAAGUCCAGAUUACAAUAAUGGUACUUUCAGCACCAUUGCACGGUUUGGUUGUCUUGCCCAGCUCUUAAUGGUCCAAAAUGCUGUACAAUGGAUUAUGAUUUAAAAAUUGAAGAUAAAAGAUUAAGUUUUGAAUAUAUCUACUUUUUUUCUUUGAAGAUGGCAAAUCAAAUUAUUAAUUCAUUAAAAAUUCAGAAUAACUCAAAUCUUUACACCACACAAACGCGACAACAAAGAAUGUGCAAUGAAAAGAAUUGAGUUAUUGUUUGAAACAUCAAAAAUGUUAAAGUUUCACGCAUUGUUUUUUAUUUGAACAGCAAUUUUCAGAUCUCAGGACAAGUUUUCUUUGGAACACACUCAGGACAAGUUAUCUUUGGAAGACAUUAUAAAUUUCUGUUUUGCAAAAGAUUAAAAGUUUUGGAUACUUUCUUUUUUUCUUUGAAGAUAACAAAUCUAAUUAUUAAUUCAUUAAAAAUUCAGACUAACCCAAUUGUUUACACCACACAAACUUUCCGGAGGUAACAUAUUUAUUUUUUGUCCAUUCUUUUUUCUUUCUUUUUUUCUUUUUUUUAAAAUAUACUGCAGUGCCAACAAAGAAUGUGCAAUGACAAGAAAUGAGUUAUUGUUUGAAAAUCAAAAAUGUUAAAUGUUCACAUUGUUUUUAUUUGAACAGCAAUUUUCAGAUCUCAGGACAAGUUUUCUUUGGAACACAUUAUAAAUUUUUGUUUUUCAAAUGAUUUCAACUGACAUAAACAAGACUGGAAAGGUCGAAAUUACCAAAAUGCUAAUUUCACUAUUAUUGGUUCUUUUGUCGUGCCCAGCUCUUAAUGAUGGAAAACCCUGUAUCACAGUAACAUUCCUUUAAAUGAACUGGAGAAGUCUUGAUUACAAUAAUCAUAUUGCUUUUUACUUUUCAACACUAUUGGAUCUUGUGUCAUACCAGCUUUAGAUGGUGGAUGGAGUAUAUGGAGGUGUUAAGAAUUGCACAAGAGGUGUUCCUGCUACCUCUCUAUAUGUAGACAAUGUCACUGUUGUUGUGACGUUCUCAUUUCUAAGCCUUAAUUUAUGUCCGUUACAACGCCCUUAGGGAGAAAAACUACACCCUCAAAUGGACUGUAGAAGUCCAGAUUACAAUAAUGGUACUUUCAGCACCAUUGCACGGUUUGGUUGUCUUGCCCAGCUCUUAAUGGUCCAAAAUGCUGUACAAUGGAUUAUGUUUUAAAAAUUGAAGAUAAAAGAUUAAGUUUUGAAUAUCUUCUUUUUUUCUCUGAAGAUGGCAAAUCAAAUUAUUAAUUCACGAGCUCUAGAUAAUAAAAAUAUCAGGUGUUAAAGUUUGGAGGUAUAAACAAGUCAUUCUCAAUCAAAAUAUUGCAAAAUUGUAAUGUUAGCGGAUUUUCUCAUUGUUGAAGCCCAUACAGUAACCUAUUUUACAUUAACAUCAUUUGGUCUCUGUAGGAUAGUUGUCUCACAUCUCUUGAUAUCACAACAAAUCAAUUUGUAGGUUCUAUAAAGUGGGCCAAUGGUGAAGGUAGGGGAAAUUUUGACUGUCAAUCGAGGAGGAAAUUAUUGGACAGAAAUUUGGCCUAACGCAACAAGCCAAGUCCUACUAACACCUCAAAAGAGUUGUGACAAGGGUUCUUCAACGUGCAGAGUUGCACUGUCCCUACAGAAAGGACCUAUACUUUUUAAACUGCCAUUCCAAUUUUUUUUGUUUUAAAUAUGAGAACUUUAGAAGACUUAAAGGUGGGGGUCAUAAAAAUAUCAAAAUUAUCCCACCCUCAAUGUUUAUUAUCUAGAACUAUGUUUUCUAUUUUGCUUUCAUAUUAUUUUUUGGUAUUUUCUUUUUUAUAUUUUUUUUUCUUUUUUUUUUUACAAAGCUCUAGAUAAUAAAAAUAUCAGAUGUUAAAGUUUGGAGGUAUAAACAAGUCAUUCUAAAUCAGAAUAUUGCAAAAUUUUAAUGUUAGUGGAUUUUCUCAUUGUUGAAGCCCAUACAGUAACCUAUUUUACAUUAACAUCAUUUGGUCUCUGUAGGAUAGUUGUCUCACAUCUCUUGAUAUCACAACAAAUCAAUUUGUAGGUUCUAUAAAGUGGUCCAAUCCUAUGGUGAAGGGAGGGGGAAUUUUGACUGCCAACCGAAGAGGAUAUUUUUGGACAGAAAUUUAGCCUAUUAAUGCAACAAGCCACAUCCUACUGACACCUCAAAAGAGUUGUGACAAGGGUUCUUUAACGUGCAGAGUGGCACUGUCUGUCCCUACAAAUAGGACCUAUACUUUCCCGCUACCUCUAUGUGUAGACAACAUCACUGUUGUGACAUUCUUAUUUCUAAGCCUUAAUUUAUGUCCGUUACAACGCCCUUAGGGAGGAAAUAGUAGCAGAUAGUAGCAGAUAUUACUACACCCUCAAAUGGAUUGUAGAAGUCCAGUUUACAAUAAUGGUACUUUCAGCACCAUAACCUGCUUUGGUUGUCUUGUCCAGCUCUCAAUGGUCCAAAAUGCUGUACAAUGGAUUAUGAUUUAAAAAUUGAAGAUAAAAGAUUAAGUUUUGAAUAUAUCUACUUUUUUUCUUUGAAGAUGGCAAAUCAAAUUAUUAAUUCAUUAAAAAUUCAGAAUAACU